GGAGAGGUGGCUGAGUGGUCGAAAGCACCGGUUUCGAAAACCGGCAUACCGCAAGGUAUCGUGAGUUCGAAUCUCACCCUCUCCG
rnacentral:tRNA from 1 species